rnacentral:misc_RNA from 1 species
AGCAGCCGCGGUAAUUCCAGCUCCAAUAGCGUAUAUUAAAGUUGUUGCAGUUAAAAGCUCGUAGUUGAAUUUCGGGAUCAAUAUGUUGGUCGUGCCUUGGUACGUACUGGCAUUAUCGAUUCCUACCUUCUGAAGAAUCUCGAUGUCAUUAAUUUGGUGUCUUGGGGAAUCAGGACUGUUACUUUGAAAAAUUAGAGUGUUUAAAGCAGGCUCGCGCUUGAAUACAUUAGCAUGGAAUAAUGAAAUAGGACGUUUGAUUCUAUUUUGUUGGUUUCUAGGAUUGACGUAAUGAUUAAUAGGGAUAGUUGGGGGCAUUAGUAUUCAAUUGUCAGAGGUGAAAUUCUUGGAUUUAUUGAAGACUAACUACUGCGAAAGCAUUUGCCAAGGAUGUUUCAUUAAUCAAGAACGAAAGUUAGGGGAUCGAAGACGAUCAGAUACCGUCGUAGUCUUAACCAUAAACUAUGCCGACUAGGGAUCGGAUGAUGUUAAUUUUUUAAUGUACUCAUUCGGUCCG